CGUGUAGGCGGCCGGUCAAGUCGGAUGUGAAAUCUCUCGGCUCAACCGAGAAACUGCAUCCGAUACUGGUCAGCUAGAGUGCGAGAGGGGUGAGUGGAACUCCAGGUGUAGCGGUGAAAUGCGUAGAUAUCUGGAGGAACGCCGGUGGCGAAAGCGACUCACUGGCUCGCAACUGACGCUGAGGCGCGAAAGCUAGGGGAGCGAACG
rnacentral:rRNA from 1 species